GAAAUUGUGAUACACGAAGUGUGGGCCUUGGACAAUAGUGUUUACUGAAAGUGUCCUAUGGCUUUAAAGGAGAAGAGCAGCCCGCUUCGUCUGCAGAGACUACAACCGCACAAGCAGUGUUACAACUAUGCUAAAAUCUCUCCAGUGGGACACCCUGGAAAGCAGACGGAAAGUGGCACGAAUUUCAAUGCUCCACAAAAUCCACCAUGGUCAGGCUGCCGUCCCGGCAGGAAAGUUCUUACAGCCGGUCACUCGCCAAUCCAGACACAAUCACAACAAGGCCUACCAACUGUUCUCCGCAAACAAAGACUGUUUCAAAUAUUCAUACUUCCCCCAAACAGUAAAAGACUGGAACACAUUACCACCAGACAUCAUAGCCAUCACGGACAAUAAGAUCUUUAAAAGAGCCGUCAUAUCUCACCUAAGAAGUAACUAAAAACUGCACCGCGCACACUCACUCUUCUCGUUUUGCUCUAGUAAGAGCGUUGAGAAUAUUGAUCCAGAUCCAGAUCCAGAUCCGGAAGGUAUUCCUUUGGUGCCUGCAGGAAUCAAAGAUAGUGUUUUCAGGAUUGCCUACGUAACAUCCUGGAAGCCGUGGACCAUCUUCUGACAAAGAGGGCAGUAACACUCGGGUGUAUUGAGCCAGGUGAGAUGGAGUCCAGCUUCGUUGAUGAUGGGGGCUCCCAUAGCUCCUCACCCCCAUGCACACCAGAGGAAAUCCUCAUUCCAUUCCAUGCCCUCCAUGGACAUGAACAACGACUCUUCAGCUCUCCAGAUGAUCUCUACACAUGCCGGAAUAAGUCAUCAGAGUUCAACGAGGAACCAAGUCAAAUGAGCAGGGAACAGAUGCUGCAGUCCAAACAAAAGUCUAAAGGAGUCGGUAAAAGAUCCAAUGCAUGCUUACAAACCGUUCUAGGACUCCUCGACUGAUAGGAAAGAUCUAAAUUCGGGGAAAGGGUUCCGCCACCUCCCUCCAUGUUUGCCAGCGAGCUGAAUUGUCUCUCGGGUGGGUGGCCGACGAGGGGGGAAACCGGGCCGGAUAUCUACGAGACGGGUGCGGGGACAGCAGGGAGAACACCUGUUUCUCAUUGGAGAUUCCGCGAGUGAGUCUCGUCGGUGGGGAUAUCGUUGACGAAGAUGAGGAGUCCGUCCCCCACUGUGAGUUCUCGUCUAGAUUCUCGCUGCUGUGUCGCCCGCGUUUGUUCUUUGCACCAGCUGUAACGACAACGCUGCCCCGGUCUGGCUGCGACGACACUGGAGUGCUCAGCCGGUCCUCACAACCUGUCCUUGCAAUAAUUUGGGGCUGCUCGGGAAGCGGCUGUCGAUGAUGGGUGCCGCUCGAGGCAAAGACAUAGACCUUGCCAGGAAUUGAAUAUCAUAACGCGCACAAAUUCACUAAGCAGAACUGGGCAACUGAGUCGUACUGCAUUUGUACUGCUUUACGACCAGAUUCCCAGAUAGCUUAUUGCUUAGCAGAGAAAGUUGUCCAGAGGCAGCUUCAUCACCUGAAACAUCUUUGUACCUGAUUUUUGCUGUUUUAUAGUAACCAUCGUUGAUGUUGUAAAAAAUGGGAAGCAGUCGCCACCACUGCUGAUGCCAAAUCUUCAAAAUUUAAAUUAUUGUGUAAUUAUAAAUGGCCAAGCGAGGGAGACAUUUCUAGGAAAUUUUGUGAGCUUCAUUAUGAAAAAGAGAAAACAGUUGGAAAAAUGAAAAUGGUUGUCCAGAAAUAAGCGGUCCUCUUACACAAACGAAGGUUUUAGGCCGCAACAAAUUUGAGUUGUCGAAAUAGUCUACCUCUUUUUGAAGUCUCCAGUGACUUGGAGUGUGAACUCAACUUGAGAUUUGUUUCUCCAAUAUAAUUCUUGAAUCCAAUAUUGGCAACCACUAAAUUUUCCCUAAAAAGGAAUGUAAAAACCUGUUAUUUCACACACUUGAACCCUGUUUUUUACUGUUUUUUGACCAUCAGUCAACAUGUGUAUUAGCCAAGGCAUGGAGUGAGCAAAAUGUGUAAUUGACUGAACAGAGGUGCAAGAACUUGUAACUUGUCUGCCUUUUAAUACACUUAGUUUGGGUUCAUUGGGCCAGUGUGCAACCUAUCAAGCUGCUAUCAGCAAUUUUGGUGAUGAGUUGAAUUUAUUUGUAAUGUCUGGUACCUGGUAGAUUACAAAUGAACACUCGGUUUGAAAUUCCUCAGAAUAUUGCUGCAUAAUGUAGAGCAAGUUUUGAAAUACCCAAAACACGAGGGUACUGAAGUACAUGUAUGACCAAUUUGAAGGUUGCAAAACACUACUGAAUAUGUGUCUGUAAUAUUAGGACCAAUGGGAGACUUAAGAUUGCUAGGUGGCAGCAAACACGAGGGUACCGAAGUACAUGUAUGACCAAUUUGAAGGUUGCAAAACACUACUGAAUAUGUGUCUGUAAUAUUAGGACCAAUGGGAGACUUAAGAUUGCUAGGUGGCAGCAAACACGAGGGUACCGAAGUACAUGUAUGACCAAUUUGAAGGUUGCAAAACACUACUGAAUAUGUGUCUGUAAUAUUAGGACCAAUGGGAGACUUAAGAUUGCUAGGUGGCAGCAAACACGAGGGUACCGAAGUACAUGUAUGACCAAUUUGAAGGUUGCAAAACACUACUGAAUAUGUGUCUGUAAUAUUAGGACCAAUGGGAGACUUAAGAUUGCUAGGUGGCAGCAAACACGAGGGUACCGAAGUACAUGUAUGACCAAUUUGAAGGUUGCAAAACACUACUGAAUAUGUGUCUGUAAUAAUAUUAGGACCAAUGGGAGACUUAAGAUUGCUAGGUGGCAGCAAACACGAGGGUACCGAAGUACAUGUAUGACCAAUUUGAAGGUUGCAAAACACUACUGAAUAUGUGUCUGUAAUAUUAGGACCAAUGGGAGACUUAAGAUUGCUAGGUGGCAGCAGACUAACCAGGUAAAUGUCCAUUGUUUAUGUAGUUCUGAGCAUGUGCCCAUUACCAAGAAUAAUGAGUUUACAAUACUCCUAAGUGAUCUUUUUAUUUUGGUUGUGAAACCCUGCGCUGAAGUGUCCUAAGCACUGUAUUCUUGGUACUUUCUGAUUCUUUGCUGAAAAAGAACUCUACAGGCAAACUUGUUUAUUAUUGAUACCCACUUAUUUUUGCUUAGCAGUGUACAUGAGGCCAGCGGCUCUAUGUGAUCACUCCCAGGUCAUACAUAGUUAUUAGGUCGGAAGUUUUAUCAAUCAAAGUUAAACUGCCAUGAUAUGAAAGAACAGAUGUUCACUCUCAAAAGAAAAUGCCUAGUUUGGGGGAUUUCUGUUUGUUUUUUGUUUUCACUGUUGAGCUGGAAAGUUUGGGACAAAAAAGUAAUAUGAGUUGAAUGUGAGUAUGUGACCAAUUGGAGAUGUUUGGACGGUCCUUUUGUAACAGCUCUUGCGUGUCAUCAGCGUCUUUAAAGUCUUUGGAAGGCAACUGUCUUAAACUUAGUGUUGUAUACUGCAUGGCUCUCAUCGAAUAACUGGUUCUGUAUGUGAUAUAUUUGCUUUGGCCCACUUGGUUACACCCAGCUCAUAAAUAUUAAGUACUGUCUACUUUGCAUACAGCUCAUGUCAAAGGUCACACCAUGACCUGCAUUCCCAGGUAUAGUUAAUAAAACGUUUUUCCAGUAUGGCA